UGGGAAUAGUCCGGGGCAGCCAGGAAGAGGCAAGAGCAGUAUACUUAGCCACAGUAGCAGAACCAAGCUCCACUGGAAAAGCUCUUGACUCGGAAGUUCUAGAGGUUCGGGAUGAGAAAACAGAGGCUAGGACAGAACCGGUGGGGGAGCUGGAGAUCUUCCCUUUAUCAGAAGCAGAGGCAGAAAAGGUCUUCAGUCUCA
rnacentral:lncRNA from 1 species